CUGAGUGUAUUGUCAGUCUGGUCAGACGGCCGCGCCUGGAACGCGGAGGACGGUGGUUCGAAUCCAUCCACUCAGACCA
rnacentral:tRNA from 2 species